AACGAACGCUGGCGGCGUGCCUAACACAUGCAAGUCGAACGGAAUUGAGGGGCUUGCUCUUCAAUUUAGUGGCGCACGGGUGAGUAACGCGUGGAUAAUCUGCCUGACGAUCUGGGAUAACAUCUCGAAAGGGGUGCUAAUACCGGAUAAGCCCACGGGAACUUCGGUUUUUGCGGGAAAAGGGGGGGACCUUUUGGCCUUCUGUCGUCAGAUGAGUCCGCGUACCAUUAGCUAGUUGGUAGGGUAAAGGCCUACCAAGGCUACGAUGGUUGGCGGGUUUGAGAGAAUGAUCAGCCACACUGGAACUGAGACACGGUCCAGACUCCUACGGGAGGCAGCAGUGGGGAAUUUUGCGCAAUGGGCGAAAGCCUGACGCAGCAACGCCGCGUGAGUGAUGAAGGCUUUCGGGUCGUAAAGCUCUGUCAGAGGGAAAGAAGUGUAUUGUGCUAAUAUCCGCGAUACUUGACGGUACCCUCAAAGGAAGCACCGGCUAACUCCGUGCCAGCAGCCGCCGUAACAC
rnacentral:rRNA from 1 species